AUGGACGGCGUGUACGAAGCGCUGGUCGUGACCGUGGCUGCCUUCGUAGGCAUCUCCGUACCCUGCCUCCUCGUCGCCUUCCUCUGCCGCCACCGCAAGAACCGCCUCCUCGAGCCGGACCACCGCUGCUCGUCGUCGUCGUCCCUCCCAAUCUCCGCCCCGGUCGGGAUAUCGUCGGAGCUCUCCUCGUCGUGGUCUCUGUACGGAUCGGCCGUCGACUCCUCCCUCAAGAAGCUCUCGCUCGACGACCUCGCCAGGGCCACCGGCGAAUUCUCCCCGGACAACAUCAUCGGCGACGGCAGCUUCGGGUUCGUGUACCGCGCCGUGCUCCCGGACGGCGGACCGGCGGUGGCCGUCAAGCGCCUCUCCGCGGACCACGCCGCCGGCGCCGGCAACCGCGAGUUCCGCGCCGAGCUGGAGGUGCUCGGCAGCCUCAGCCACCGCAACCUUGCGCGCCUGCUCGGCUACUGCGCCGCCGGGCGCGACCGCCUCCUCGUCUACGAGCUCCUCGAGCGAGGCAGCCUCGACGCCUGGCUGCACGGCGACGCCGCCUCGGCCGGUGGCUCGCUCCCGUGGCCCGCGCGCCUCCGCGUCACCCGCGGCGCAGCGGCCGCGCUCGCCUUCCUGCACCACGACCGCCACCCGCCCGUGCUCCACCGCGACGUCAAGUCCAGCAACGUGCUACUCGACGAGGGGUUCGAGGCCAAGCUCGCCGAUUUCGGCCAUGCGAGGGUUGUCACCGGCGGUCCUGCCGCGUCGCAGCUCAGCACGCAGGCCGCCGGCACAGCGGGGUACAUGGCACCAGAGAUACGUGAAGGCGUGGGAGCAAGCGUGAAAGCAGAUGUGUACAGUUUUGGCGUGCUAAUGAUGGAGACAGUGACCGGUCGACGACCAAGCUGGCCAAUGAAGAACAUUAGAGGUAAGGAGGUAGAACUAUUGAAAUGGGCAAGGGAAAAGGUUGAGGCCGACAUAUCCUCGGAGAUUGCGGAUCAUCGAAUGGGUUUAGAAGGGGAAAAGGAAACAAAGGAGGUGAAAACUUUCUUAGACAUCGCACAAAGUUGCACAGAGGAGUCUCCUAAGUAUCGACCGACAAUGAAAGAGGUGGUAGAGAGGCUCAAUAGGCUGUGA
rnacentral:rRNA from 1 species